UCUCCACUCUACUCGAUAAUUACCUAAGCUUGUGGAUUAUAAUUCUUUUAUUUUGGAUUCGAUCCCUCUUUUUUUUGUGUAUUAUCGAAAUUUAUGAAUGUUUUUUUUCCGUUAAUUUCCUGUGAAAAUCGCCACUUCUCCGCCGAUGGCGCUUCCUCUCGGCAAGCUAUCGCUCAUCGUUGGUGCAGGCCUCGUGGGAUCUGUUCUUGCCAAGGAGGGCCGGAUAUCUAAUGUUUCUGAUUUUUUCUCUGGUGCAUUUAAGAUAGUUUUCAAGCAACUUAAACAAGAUGUUCCUGCUACUCC